CUGGUGGAACCAGGUUGUGUUAAACUCUAUGUUUAACAAAUGUGAAGCUUAAACCAGGCGUCAAUAGACACAUGUAGAGAUUCACUAGACUCAAGCUGAAGCUACGUUUAGUUAUGUGAUGGUAUAUGUUGUUAGUAUGACGUUUGCUAUGACUGAAUGUUGAAAGUUAAACAAUGUGUCACAGUUAGAAAAUGUUAAACAGUCUCAUGAUAGCGAUGCUGAACAAUGAGCGACAUUAAAUAUGAGAAGAAAAAGUGAAACUAAAUAUAUAGAAAAAAACAUAAAUAUGUAACAAAUUAACAUCAUGUCUCAGACUCAAGAUGAAGAUAUAAUAAUAAUAAUAAUAAUAAUAAUAAUAAUAAUAAUAAUAAUAAUAAUAAUAAUAAUAAUAAUAAUAAUAAUAAUAAUAAUAAUAAUAAUAAUAAUAAUAAUCAACUGUAGCAUAAACAGUUUAGACCCAGAAAAGAUAAUAUAAUAUAAUCAGACCUAUUAAAACAUCAGAAUCUAACAAGUUAUACAUUUUUUCGUUCAUUGGUUUCACUGAGCAGAUGCUUUAGUAUAUAUUCAGAUGCUUUAGUAUAUAUUUAUUACCAGUCCCCAUGUCACAUAUUUACACAAUAUGUCUGACGACACUUUAUCUUCGUCCAUGUGCAGAAUCGUCCCCGUCAAAGCCAAAUCUGGCGGUUCUGAGUCCGCUGCUGCCUCGCAACUGGGUUGGCGACCCAAAGGACCUGCCCCCCGAGGUUUGUCUGGCCACCAACUUCCGUCCGAGACAGGGUCAGAUGGUUCUGAAUGUUAACAAUGGGCCGGACUUUGUGAACACCAGCAGCGCGGUUCUGUCCAAAAAACAGAAAAGCUACGUCUUCGCUGGAUUCAGCAACAGAACCAUUUACUCCUGUGAGCUGCACGACUCCGUGUCCAACAACGAACAAAUUGACCUCUGUGACGACAUCUAUCCUGGAAAAGCUAGGCUCAACUUCCUUCUGCUGCUGAUGAAUGGAGCCCGACUUGUGUUCACUAAGACUCUGGCCUUCAACACCGUUCUGACCAUCAGAGCCAUGAUGUUCUAAGGCCCGCUGGACCCGGACCCAGUUGGCUGAUGGAUCUGAGGGUCGCAUGGCCACCAAACGGUUGAGAAACAACCACAGAUACGAUGAGAACAAAUCGUCAUUAUUUGGUUCUGCUUUGAUCGACUCGACUCGAGUGAAUUAGGAUUUGACGUUGAUCUUUUCUGCUAGUUUUAGUUUUGUUUGUCACUAAUUAAACGUUUUACAUUUAAAAACAAUGAAACAGACUGAGUCUUGAUUUUUGAGCUUUGGUGCCCUUCUUGUGUGGACCUGACCUGUGCAGGACCAGCACUCAAACCCGCAACCUUGACCCAAUGGUGUGUGAGCCAUGUGGUAAGUUAGCGCCAGCAGCUGGAUGGUGGUUCUGCUCAUACUUCUUCAGCUCAGGGUCCAGUUUUCUGUUGCUAAUGUCUUGUGGUUUUGUUUUCUUUGUGUGUGUUGACAAUAAAUCGACUUCACCUCAGACUCUAGUUUGUCUC
rnacentral:lncRNA from 1 species